CUACGGGCCGCUGCAGUGGGGAAUAUUGGACAAUGGGGGAAACCCUGAUCCAGCAAUGCCGCGUGUGUGAAGAAGGCCUGCGGGUUGUAAAGCACUUUCGGUUGGGAGGACUGCUUCUAGCACUAAUAUUGUUGGAAGUUGACGUUACCUUCAGAAGAAGCACCGGCUAACUCCGUGCCAGCAGCCGCGGUGAAUACGGAGGGUGGCAAGCGUUAAUCGGAAUUCUGGGCGUAAAGCGCGCGUAGGCGGCUAGAUCAGUCGGGUGUGAAAGCCCCGGGCUUAACCUGGGAACGGCAUCCGAUACUGUCUAGCUUGAGUACAGGAGAGGAGAGUGGAAUUCCACAUGUAGCGGUGAAAUGCGUAGAUAUGUGGAGGAACACCAAUGGCGAAGGCAGCUCUCUGGCCUGAUACUGACGCUGAGGUGCGAAAGCGUGGGGAGCAAACAGGAUUAGAUACCCCUGUAGUC
rnacentral:rRNA from 1 species